CCAAAUCCAAAAAAACUUGACCCGAAGCUGCUUGCUUGCCAUCACUAGUAAUCUUUCUUAAACUAAGGAAAAUAGCUCCUUAAUAAGUGAUAAAUCACUGUCGAACAUCCAGAGAUAGCUUUCAGGAUCACCCCACGAUCCAGAGAUACAGUUACUGUCUACUAAACUCAAAAAAGGUUACUGUCUACUGAUUGGCAUCUAAAUUGGAGUUAAUUUUCACUGUGUCUAUUAUAUGUUAUUUUCUCUUACAAGAACAAUUUACUUACCUGGACUUCCUUUUCUGUCUAAAUGCUUGCUUUCAGGAUGCAGGAACCUGCUGAAGAGUUGGCACUGAUCUUGGAUUCUAAAGGAAAUCUCAUGUCCUUGAUGAAACAG
rnacentral:lncRNA from 1 species